rnacentral:rRNA from 1 species
UACGUAGGGGGCAAGCGUUGUCCGGAAUUAUUGGGCGUAAAGCGCGCGCAGGCGGUUUGGAAAGUCUGGUGUUUAAGGCUGAGGCUCAACCUCAGUUCGCACUGGAAACUGUCAGACUUGAGUGCAGAAGAGGAAAGUGGAAUUCCACGUGUAGCGGUGAAAUGCGUAGAGAUGUGGAGGAACACCAGUGGCGAAGGCGGCUCACUGGCCCGAUACUGACGCUGAGGUGCGAAAGCGUGGGGAGCAAACAGG